AGCUCUGAGGUGUAUUUACAUGUUAGAUUGCAAAUCUUAAGAAGCAGAUUAACGUCUGCCGGGGCUUUCCCCGCCU
rnacentral:tRNA from 1 species